UACGGAGGGGGCUAGCGUUGUUCGGAAUUACUGGGCGUAAAGCGCACGUAGGCGGCUUUGCAAGUCAGAGGUGAAAGCCCGGGGCUCAACCCCCGGAAUAGCCUUUGAGACUGCAUCGCUAGAAUUGUGGAGAGGUAAGUGGAAUUCCGAGUGUAGAGGUGAAAUUCGUAGAUAUUCGGAAGAACACCAGUGGCGAAGGCGACUUACUGGACACAUAUUGACGCUGAGGUGCGAAAGCGUGGGGAGCAAACAGG
rnacentral:rRNA from 1 species